CGAAGUCCUGCUUUCCUUUCCCUCGCAGUCGCGCUGCUACAUUCGAUUGACGCCAAACCAACUUUGCAAAAUGUCUGUUCAGAAGUAGCCUUACCUCCCCACUGCUGGAUGUUCACAUCCCAUCGUUCCAAAGCGCACAAAAACAAAAUCUGCACAGUUCAAGUUUCCACCCAACAGCAGCUGCAGCAGCAGGGAUUUAAUUUUAAAUGUUUUUAUUUGUAAUCUCAUGUUAAACUCCUCUCAGUCGUUGAGGAUGAGUCAACCUCCCUAAGAUGUCCAGUAAGGCAACAGUUGCUUUGUUUUCUGUGCCAUCCAUGCCAAAGGAAGUGGCUCUGUGCUGAGUGAACCCAAAGGGAUUCUAACUCCUUUGGUUUGGAUUCCUCCUCAGUGUUCAGUGAAGCCUCUCCGGCUGCAGGAGGCUCAACACUACAGCAGGCCUGUGUCUGGACUGCAGAUAUUAAAGUAGACUGAAUCCACACUGGAGAUAAAUAUGAAAGAACUCUACAAACUUCUGUUUAUUUAAUUAUUUUUUUCUGUUUCACCUAUAAAUAACCUCAAAGGGAAGCGUUGAAGGGAAUCAGUCACUUCAAGUGUCUUGGUUUUCUUGUUAUCCUCAAUGAAAGUUCUCCAAAACCCAGUGCUGGGUGUCGAUGAGCCUGGCUUCCUCUACUGCAGAUGUAUUGCAUUGUGGCAAGAAGUCGGGGAAAACCGCUAGCCUAGCAUUGUCCAAAAAUUGCUCUUAGUGUUGAUAAAUGGUUGGGUUGUCCAAAGGACAGGAAGUGGUGCAAAAGUUUCCAUGAUGGUUUGAGUCUACACUAGGGUUUGGCCUGCAUCGUUCACUGCACCACAGCUCCAUCUUGGGGUUCAGAUGAGUUGGUCAACUCCAUCUGUUGGAAACUGGGAGCAACUCCAACUACCCAAAGUUACGACUUAUAAGGUUGACUUUGAAUUUAAGUAUUGCUGCUACAUGUGGCGCCUGUGACUAUGACCUGAACAAAUAAAAAACUCUGUUUGCUUAGGGAAAGUAAAACAUAAUGUUUGUAAGAACGUGUCACCAUGUUGAAAUUCUGAGACAUUUAUUUUUGACUCUGGUCUGACGCCAAAACCGCCUCGGUUACGUCUGAGGUAACUGGAAUACAGCAUAACUAUGGAAUGUAUGUAAAGCUGGACCCAGGAAUCGGGUAAUAAGUUAAGCAAAUGUAACCCUAAAUUGCUCCCUUAUUCUAGUUGUGUUGGUUACCAACUCUCUCCUUUGGUUUUUCCUGUAUUUACCCGUUGGACAUGCUCCACCCGGGCACUGGGAGUAAUGCUCACUGACGGCAAGUUGGGAGCAAAAAUUCUACACAAAUCAGGAGAAAAUAUUAUGUUUGUGCAAUAAAAUGUCAGAUAAUGCUCAUUUACAGUUAACUGCACAGGGCAACAAUAUUUGACAUGGGGCGUUUUGAUUUUUGUUCAGUGUGUUUUAAAUUCAUUCGAAAUCCUCUUGUGGGGGCAGGAAGGGGCUGCGGGGGCAGGAAGGGCCUGCGGGGGCAGGUUGGGGGCAUCCACCGGCUCCCAUGAGCUGCAACGCUAAAGAAAACACAAGAUAAUGUCUUAAUGGUGACAUUUGAUCCAGUGUUGGAAUAGUUGAAGCAGCAGAUCUAAGCCUGUAAUGGGCUCUAAACUAAAACCACUUGGUAACCGCUGCUACUCUUGUUUUUGCAUUUGUCUUGUUCUCAGACUUUAAUACUGGAGAAGAGGAGGAUGGAAUAUUUUUCAGGAAAAAAAAGACGCUCAGUAUUCCUGACAACAGCUUUAAGUAGCCUGCGUUUCUGAUGCAUCAAAACUUCUCAAACUAUAACCAUGUGGGACUCCACCGUAUGAUGGCAUAUACAACAUUUUAAUUAACUUGUAAAGAUGUGCUAAUUGCUUUUAUUCAAUACAGAGAAGCACAUACAGCUGCUAACAAUAUUUUCUAAUGUUUAACAUUUUUGAUUUUGAUACAUAAUACUCAGUAAAAAUAUACAAACUCAACUAAAACUAAAUUUAGUUCUUAUUUAAAAUAUUUCCUUUUCAGAGGAUUCUUGCUUUUUGCUGUUUUGCUCUUUAGAUUUAAACAAGUCUAACAACCCAACAUUAGCUGGGUAAUUAGUUGGGCUAUCUGCUGAGGUAGCUAGGCCAGUUGACAAUUAUAGGUGUUAAACUGUUAACUUAAGAGUGGUUGAUGGCAUUCCUUUAGUUUCUACACAAGCACUGAAUUCAGAUAUACAGUUAAGAGAUCAUGAGAAAGGAGAGGCUAUGCUAGGCUAGGCUAGAUCAAACAUCAAAAGAUUUAAAAACUCAGUGUUUCCUGUUAGUCUGUCCUGGUUUGGAUAUGUUUGUGAUCUAAAAAUCAUGUUUAUUUUUGUAUAAAAUUAGCUGUAUAAUCAUACAGCUAAUACUUUCUGUAUGGAAAAAAAUGUCAACUCUGUGAAACUUCCACUGCUCUUGGGGGCCCCCUAUAGGUUCAGGAGAGGCUAUGCAGAUGCUCUUGUCUGUUUGCCUUGAGCUCAUUCAAGAUUCAAAAUGCAAAAUGAGAAGAUGUUUCUGGACAAAGUCAGGCCAACUGUGCGUUUCCCCCGUCUUUAUGCCACUAUUCUACCUUCAUGUUUUGUUUUUGUUUUUUUUUUUACCAAAAAAAAAGUAAAUAAAAUUUUUAGGCCACCAGAUGAGUUGAAAAGGCAAAGACAUGCAAGACUGUCCAGUGGUUUUUGGAGAACUGGAAAAAAAAACCUCAUGGCAAGAAAACAUAUCUUGUGAUUCUUCAUAUCUAAAAUGAUUUGAUGUUUGUGAUGAACCAGGUUACAUGUUACAACACUGAAAGUGUUUAACUUUAGUUAGUUUUUUUUUUUUCAUGCUCAUAACUCCCCAUGCCGGGUUCUGGUCUAGAAAAGCUAAUCAACAGCUUCUGCUUGUAAGAAGCUAAAAAAGACAAAACUGGUUUUUAAAGGAAGUGGUUUAAAGAAAAAAAGUAUGUAUUUAUGCUCUUUUUUUUUUUUUUUACGGUAAUGUACAAAGACGAAUGAUAUGCUUUGAAAUGAAACAUGCUUUAUAGUUAAAUUAAUGCUUUUUCAUUUUACCAAACUUAUUUUUCUAUUAUCGUUUUAGCAUUUGGCUGUUCUCCAUUGUCCAACUGAGCAACAUUUUUAUGAAAAGGCCAACAAAGAUGCACCUUAUGAAACGUAUUGAUGAGUAAGCUUGAACUGUAACCUCCAUCAGUGUACUACAAUACAGUUAGACACACACAUGGUAAGCCUGGUGUAGCAUUAGCACGUCAUACAUCGUUUCCCAUCUGUGAUGGAUGUCAGUGUUUCUACACACUAACCAGAUCGGUUCAGGUUAAUGAAGGGGGGAACGCUGCAGAGUGCAAUUUUUCUCUCAAUAACUCAUAUUCAGAUGUCCGCCUUUAACUUUGACAUGCCAUGAUCUGUCAAACUACUGGUUUGUGUGUGUGUGUGUGUGUGUGUGGACGCUUACCAGAACGGAGGCGUCCUCUUGCGGUGUGGCUACAUGUUGGUCAAUAUCUUCAAGUGAAAUGCCACCUGGUUCACCCCAUUAUCACUUAGGAACAGAGGACUGAAUGCUGUUGUAUCAAUCUCAAAUAUAGUUAAGUUCAAAAUUACUGUAUUGCCCAUUUCAGAAUUUAGUGCCUUUUUUGGACAGUAGACUGUUCUGUAAUUAAGAUGUAGUAUAUAAACAUUUUUUGUACAGUUUCUUUGUCCAUUUUUUAACUUGUGUUUAUUUUAGUAUGAUAUAUAUAUAUAUAUAAUGUACAAGAGAAUAAAGCUAUAUCAAUGACAUUA